rnacentral:rRNA from 1 species
UGGGGAAUUUUGCACAAUGGGGGAAACCCUGAUGCAGCGACGCCGCGUGAUUUAGAAGGCCUUCGGGUUGUAAAAAUCUUUUGUAUGGGAAGAAAAUGACAGUACCAUAAGAAUAAGGACCGGCUAAUUACGUGCCAGCAGCCGCGGUAAUACGUAAGGUCCGAGCGUUGUCCGGAAUCAUUGGGCGUAAAGGGUACGUAGGCGGAUAAGCAAGUUAGAAGUGAAAUCCUAUAGCUCAACUAUAGUAAGCUUUUAAAACUGCUCAUCUUGAGGUAUGGAAGGGAAAGUGGAAUUCCUAGUGUAGCGGUGAAAUGCGCAGAUAUUAGGAGGAAUACCGGUGGCGAAGGCGACUUUCUGGCCAUAUACUGACGCUGAGGUACGAAAGCGUGGGUAGCAAACAGG